UUGGGCCAUUUGGGACAAAAUUUUCUGGUCAAAAGGUUGCUGCAAAGCAGAUAUCAACAGGGAUAUUGGUUGAUUUUUACAUAUGGGUGGUGGUGGCGGCCUUAUUCAGUGUUGGAUGAAAUGUUGUGAUGAGUAUGUUAAGAUAAUUACGAAGAUAUAUGAGCUGGAUUACCUAACUCUGACAAGAAGCCUGGAUACCCGGAAAUGCUCCCAUGCUAUCUCUGAGCUGUGAAGCCUGAACAAAACCUUCUGUACACUUUAAUGUAAGUACAUGCAAAUGACUCAGAUUUCAUCUGCACAUGUGGAGCCCACUUGUGAGAUGAUUGCAUGUUCAAAGAUGUGUUGCACACGAGUGUCCCCCACGUACAUACAAACAACUGGCAGCGCAUUUGAGUUUGCUGAAUUCAGGAGGGAGAGGAUUUAAGGGAAAGGAGACUAUUAUCUCUUUGUUACACAAUGUGUAUGUACUUACUAGUGGAUCAAAUGAAAGAGAGAAAUAAAUGUUAUGGGGAGAUUUCUUAAAAACAGAGCAUGUUUUAUAGCCAAAUAAUGAUCUAUCAUGUAGACUUAAAUCAUUAUAAAUGAACCAGACCAUCCAAUUGUUCAUUGCUA